AACGAACGCUGGCGGCAGCCUUAACACAUGCAAGUCGAGCGCGCCUUCGGGUGAGCGGCGGACGGGUUAGUAACGCGUGGGAACGUACCCUUCUCUACGGAAUAGCCUUUGGAAACGAAGAGUAAUACCGUAUACGCCCUUUGGGGGAAAGAUUUAUCGGAGAAGGAUCGGCCCGCGUUAGAUUAGAUAGUUGGUGGGGUAACGGCCUACCAAGUCUACGAUCUAUAGCUGGUUUUAGAGGAUGAUCAGCAACACUGGGACUGAGACACGGCCCAGACUCCUACGGGAGGCAGCAGUGGGGAAUCUUAGACAAUGGGGGCAACCCUGAUCUAGCCAUGCCGCGUGAGUGAUGAAGGCCUUAGGGUCGUAAAGCUCUUUCGCCUGUGAUGAUAAUGACAGUAGCAGGUAAAGAAACCCCGGCUAACUCCGUG
rnacentral:rRNA from 1 species